CCUACGGGUGGCAGCAGUGAGGAAUAUUGGUCAAUGGACGAGAGUCUGAACCAGCCAAGUAGCGUGAAGGAUGACUGCCCUAUGGGUUGUAAACUUCUUUUAUAUGGGAAUAAAACGUUCCACGUGUGGGAUUUUGUAUGUACCAUAUGAAUAAGGAUCGGCUAACUCCGUGCCAGCAGCCGCGGUAAUACGGAGGGUCCGAGCGUUAUCCGGAUUUAUUGGGGUUAAAGGGAGCGUAGGUGGAUUGUUAAGUCAGUUGUGAAAGUUUGCGGCUCAACCGUAAAAUUGCAGUUGAAACUGGCAGUCUUGAGUACAGUAGAGGUGGGCGGAAUUCGUGGUGUAGCGGUGAAAUGCUUAGAUAUCACGAAGAACUCCGAUUGCGAAGGCAGUUCACUGGACUGCAACUGACACUGAGGCUCGAAAGUGUGGGUAUCAAACAGGAUUAGAUACCCGAGUAGUC
rnacentral:rRNA from 1 species